rnacentral:lncRNA from 1 species
CAAAACGACCCCUGCAUCCUCUUUCUUCUUCACCAACACGUGAAUGCACUGCAAAAUCCAGAAACGUCAACAACAACUGGUAAACGUCAACAAUAGUUGCCCUUCACCAAACCGUUCCAACAGCUCCCACGGCCUUUCUCUGCAACAACCGCCCACCUUGAUCUAGUCAUCCGGAUUUUAGGGGAUUUUGGUUGAAAUCUUAUACCAAGAACAACUUUUCCCCUUCCUUUGGGGAAAUUUUUUUGAAUUGCGAGUUUGAGCUUCAAAUUCCUAUUCUACCCUUUUCCCACUCGAUUUUUCCAGAUUUUCCCUUCUAUAUAUAUCCUCUCAUUCUUCAAAGGGAGGAAGAAGGGGAAAAAAGAUUAAGAAUUAGCUAAGUGUUGAGAGGAAGAAAUAUAUCUAAACCAAUAAAUUUUUGAAGUUGUUUGAAUCAGUUUUGGCUCUCGCUCGUUUUUGUCUUGAUCAUUCUAGUUUUUCGAAGUCGUGUUUCGGUGUGAAAUUGGUUGCUCAUCUCAAGCUUGUCGUCCCACCUCGCUGCUCCAAGAAAGGUAAUCUCUUCCCAUUUUUAGUUGUUUCAUAUUUCCCCUAGUUCCCUAUUAGUGUUCAAUUUCCCAGAAUGCUUAUUAUGUGGCUUUCAAUAGUUUUGUCGUUUUAGUUUUCGAGUAUGUAUAGUUUUAUCAGAUGGUUAAUGUCUCGACGUUGUUAUCUGCUUAAGUGCUUAGCUAGACACAUUUGCGACAAAAUGACGUGUUCAUUUAGCUUGACCUCUCUGUUUUAAUGUGUUGAUUUUUUUUUAAUUUUUUUUAAAAAAAGUCUCAAAUUGUAAGCUUGUUAGUUUUGUUUCAUUCAUGGUGGUUUAGGUAUGAGUGUAGUCUUUGCUCACUUGGGUUGUUAGUUCCUUAUGAGUCUUGACCGUUGAACUAGUAAUGUUGUUGGUGUUUGUGCACUAGGAUUCUUUCUAUCCUUAUUUACGAAUAACGUAAUUAAGGUUUUGCUCGUUACUUUCACAAAUAUGCCAGAUUCUGAUGCCUCUGUUUUGGUCGAUGCUACCCUUGUGUUUUUAGUUAAUAGUUUGCAAUAUUUACCGACUUGUUUGAUGCCGGAUUGUCAACCUUGUCUCUUAGUCCUAUUGCCUUCAUUUAAAGUAUUUAAGAGCCUGAAUUUAUGUGUCAGAUAAUUUGAUAAUAAAAGAAUAGUUUCACAUUCCUUUCCUUCCCACUUUACACAUAAACAUUGAUACUUCCGUUUAAAGUAUAGCACAUCAUGCACCUGCAAUAGAUUUUUUUUUUCUUACUGCCAAUACAAUAAUUGUUGCUAUUACAAUCUUAUCAAUUUUAUGUUUCAUAGAAAAGAUGAGAUAUGUGGAUGUAAUUAGCUGUUCCCUCUGCCUCCUAACUUAUCAGCUUCUCUGUUUUAAUAUUCAUGUUCAUUAGUCUAAUAUUUGUGAUAUGUAGUUAAUGUGCAUGUUUUGGUUGUAGUGUGGUAGUUAUAUAUAAAUUUUAUCUAUUUCAUAUCAUGGUCAAUUCUGUAUGUAUACUCAAGAACAAAUACCUCUAUGCUUAGAUCUAUUAUUGAGGGACCUUUGGUAAGUAUUUUCAUCGGUUUUUAACUAAAUAUCAUACUCCAAGGAUGGAUGACAGUUAGUGUUAUGUUUUUUUUUUAAUUUUAUAUAUCACGUAAAACUACACUAUCAAUACCAUACAUUCCCGGGAGUUCAUGAUAAAAUUUAUUAAUAGAUUAGAAGGAAGAAGGUGUUAUACUAGAGAUUUCAUUUUAAAUAAAUGAUUAUGGUAUGUUAGAGCAUCCUUUUAAAAAAAUAAAAAAUAAAAAAAAUGCACAGCAACCUUCUUUAGGCUUUUUUUCUUGGAUAAAUGUGAUUGUUUGAGACCGAAGAUUGUUUGAGACUGAAGCAUUGUUAUCUUUCGGUUUUAAUGACAAAAAGCUAAAGUUCUUAUUUGAGCUCCAAAAAUAAGAAUGUAUUCCUCUCCUUGAAGUUAUUUUCCAGUUUUUUUUUAAUAAAAUGCUUUAGCAUACCUCUAACCAUUCCCUUGUUUUAAAUAUACGAUUAAAAUAUAACAUUAACCGGCAACUAAGGUCUCUCGGAUCAGACUUGGUAAUGGUCUUUAGAAUUUUUCUUGUCUUAAUUAAACUAGCUUUCAUAUUGUGCAAAAAAAAAAAAAAAAAAAAAAAAUUCCUUUCCGAGAUUUCUGUUAGACUUAGUAUUGUUCUUAAAUUUGAGAUAAAACAUGUCUGCUUGAAUUUUUUUUUAGUGGUCAAUGAUUUAAGUUCUAUCUUGUUGUGAUCUUAUAUGUUAAAUUAUUUGUUGUCGAUUUACCCAAGCAUAUGGUUUGUUAACUCCCUUUUUCCUUUAUACCAUGCAUGUGAUAUUGAGUCCACCGGACUCCAAUCCUUCCUUCCUUGCAUCUCUUUUGUUUGUUGGGAUGAACCCAACAACUCUCCGAGUCAGCCCCUAUACAUUCGGAAGCUGCUAUAGGUCCCGGAGACCCAACACUGCUGGAAAUUAGUUUAUAAAUGGUCAAAAGCCCAAGGAAUGGGCUGUAUAUGUAUACAUCAGUAUACACUCAUUAUACAUCGAAUUACAGGUCAUAAAUGCGAAAAUAUAGAGAUGAGGUAAAAUACAAGUGUUCGGGAGCAGGAGAUACACGGAAAGAGCUGAUAUACAUGCUGAUAUACAUCAGGUGUAUACAAAAAUGGGUUUAGGAUUAAAUCCCAAAAAUUCCAGCAAAUUUGGCCCAAAAGGAGGCCCAAAUUCAAUUUUCUCCCUUACUCUUUAAUUAUUUAAUUGUGACUAUUUAUUGUUUGUUGUUUAAUUCUAACUUUAUAAUUUUUAAUUAACUUAAUUAGAUUCCCCAAAAGAUGAGUUAUUUUCUUUGUGUCGGUUUAAUUCUAAUACAUUUCAUUUUUUGUGUU